rnacentral:rRNA from 1 species
UACCCGCUGAACUUAAGCAUAUCAAUAAGCGGAGGAAAAGAAACCAACAGGGAUUGCCCUAGUAACGGCGAGUGAAGCGGCAACAGCUCAAAUUUGAAAUCUGGCUCUUUUAGAGUCCGAGUUGUAAUUUGCAGAGGGCGCUUUGGCUUUGGCAGCGGUCCAAGUUCCUUGGAACAGGACGUCACAGAGGGUGAGAAUCCCGUACGUGGUCGCUAGCUAUUGCCGUGUAAAGCCCCUUCGACGAGUCGAGUUGUUUGGGAAUGCAGCUCUAAAUGGGAGGUAAAUUUCUUCUAAAGCUAAAUACUGGCCAGAGACCGAUAGCGCACAAGUAGAGUGAUCGAAAGAUGAAAAGCACUUUGGAAAGAGAGUCAAACAGCACGUGAAAUUGUUGAAAGGGAAGCGCUUGCCGCCAGACUUGCUUGCAGUUGCUCACCCGGGCCCUUUUGCCCGGUGCACUCUUCUGCAGGCAGGCCAGCAUCAGUUUGGGCGGUGGGAUAAAGGUCUCUGUCACGUACCUCUCUUCGGGGAGGCCUUAUAGGGGAGACGACAUACCACCAGCCUGGACUGAGGUCCGCGCAUUUUUUGCUAGGAUGCUGGCGUAAUGGCUGUAAGCGGCCCGUCUUGAAACACGGACCAAGGAGUCUAACAUCUAUGCGAGUGUUUGGGUGUCAAGCCCGAACGCGUAAUGAAAGUGAACGGAGGUGGGAACCCGCAAGGGUGCACCAUCGACCGAUCCUGAUGUCUUCGGAAGGAUUUGAGUAAGAGCAUGGCUGUUGGGACCCGAAAGAUGGUGAACUAUGCUUGAAUAGGGUGAAGCCAGAGGAAACUCUGGUGGAGGCUCGCAGCGGUUCUGACGUGCAAAUCGAUCGUCAAAUUUGGGCAUAGGGGCGAAAGACUAAUCGAACUAUCUAGUAGCUGGUUCCUGCCGAAGUUUCCCUCAGGAUAGCAGUAACGUAUUCAGUUUUAUGAGGUAAAGCGAAUGAUUAGAGGCCUGGGGGUUGAAACAACCUUCACCUAUUCUCAAACUUUAAAUAUGUAAGAAGUGUUUGUUGCUUAAUUGAACGUACACAUUUGAAUGAAACGUUAUUAG